rnacentral:rRNA from 1 species
AGACUAAGCCAUGCAUGUGCAAGUAUAAACGCUUGAAUCGUGAGACUGCGAAUGGCUCAUUAAAUCAGUUAUAGUUUAUUUGAUGGUGUUUACUACGUGGAUAACCGUGGUAAUUCUAGAGCUAAUACAUGCAAAAGGUCCCGACUUUUCGGAAGGGACGUAUUUAUUAGAUCCAAAACCAAUGCAGGUGUCCUGCUUCGGUGGGCCCUGGUAUCUUGGUGAUUCAUAGUAACUUCUCGAAUCGCUUGGCCUCCGCGCCGGCGAUGGUUCAUUCAAGUUUCUGCCCUAUCAACUUUCGAUGGUAGGGUAUUGGCCUACCAUGGUUGCAACGGGUGACGGAGAAUUAGGGUUCGAUUCCGGAGAGGGAGCCUGAGAAACGGCUACCACAUCCAAGGAAGGCAGCAGGCGCGCAAAUUACCCAAUCCCGACUUGGGGAGGUAGUGACAAUAAAUAACAAUGCCGGUCCCUAUAGUGGUCCGGCAAUUGGAAUGAGUACAAUCCAAACCCCUUAACGAGGAACAAUUGGAGGGCAAGUCUGGUGCCAGCAGCCGCGGUAAUUCCAGCUCCAAUAGCGUAUAUUAAAGUUGUUGCAGUUAAAAAGCUCGUAGUUGGAUUUCGGGGCCCCGGACGCUCGUUGCGUUGUCUGCUGGACUUGUCCUGUGGGCGCGUGGCGGUCGUCGGUCUCUGAGUCGGAUCGGUCCGCCGAGAGGCGUGCACUGACCGACGGCCCCUGUUGUCUCUCGGGUUGCCCGCCUGCACUUAGCUGUUGCGGACGGGGAGUUCGGGACGUUUACUUUGAACAAAUUAGAGUGUUCCAAGCAGGCCGUUUGCUUUGAAUACAUUAGCAUGGAAUAAUGGAAUAGGGCUGCGUGGCCUGUCGUCUGACGGCGGGUCCUCGUGUCCUAUUUUGUUGGUUUUCGGGACCGCAGUCAUGGUCAAGAGGGACAGUUGGGGGCAUUCGUAUUCAGUUGUCAGAGGUGAAAUUCUUGGAUUUACGGAAGACGAACAACUGCGAAAGCAUUUGCCAAGGAUGUUUUCAUUAAUCAAGAACGAAAGUUGGGGGUUCGAAGACGAUCAGAUACCGUCGUAGUC